CCCCUCUCCCUCGAUUUUCGCCGCCCGAAGAAAUAUCUUCUUCCUCUCGACUUCAAUUUUCUCUCGAACCAGUCUGGCUCAGCCAUGCGCCGGGAAUGGAUGUUCAUGAUGACUGCAAGCUAAGAUUUUUGGAACUGAAGGCAAAGAGGACAUACCGUUUCAUAAUUUAAAAAGAUUGAGGAGCAGCAAAAGCAAGUGGUUGUAGAGAAAGUUGGCCAACCAACCGAACGUACGAUGAUUUCGCGGCACGUCUGCCAUCUGAUGAAUGCCGAUAUGCCAUUUACGAUUUUGACUUCGACACGGAAGAGAGCUGCCAGAAGAGCAAAAUUUUCUUCACCGCUGGUAUUAAUCAUACUGUUUUGCUGGUGCCCUUAGUCUCGUUCUUCGUCCUUUCAGAGAAUCCAACUUUUAUCCGAUCUUUGCAAAGGUCUCCUGACACAUCGAGGGUGAGAAGCAAGAUGAUCUAUGCCAGCUCCAAGGACAGGUUCAAGCAGAGCUUCAAGCUACUGACCCAACAGAGAUGAGUCUCGAUGUUUUCAAAAGCCGUACCAAUUAAAAAGAACCUGAAGAUCCGGUUCGUUUUUUUUUUUAAAAUAACCGAUUGGUUAUAAAUAUUGAAUAACCAACCGGGUUCAGCUCAAUUAUUGCUGGAUUAAUAACUAAUUAAAAUCGAUUUAACUUUGGUUAUUCUGUUAA